rnacentral:rRNA from 6 species
GAACGACUCUCGGCAACGGAUAUCUCGGCUCUCGCAUCGAUGAAGAACGUAGCGAAAUGCGAUACUUGGUGUGAAUUGCAGAAUCCCGUGAACCAUCGAGUCUUUGAACGCAAGUUGCGCCCGAUGCCUUCUGGCCGAGGGCACGUCUGCCUGGGCGUCACGC